UUACAAACCAUUUUUUGCCCUUAGACUUUACAGCACCAUUGCAUUCCUUUAAGUAAAUCACAUCAUUGCUAAGCAGGAGUGCAUCCUCAGAAUCAGACAUGUGUUCAAUUGUGCUUAGCUUCCUUGCUUUCUUUCUUCUUGACAGACAUACUCCAGCAAAAUGAUUUAGCCUACCACAUGAUCUACAGGUUUUCCCAUAUGCAGGACACUGUUCUUUCUCUCUCACAUGUAUACUGCCACAGUACUUACAUGAUGUAGACUUGCUCACAGAUGAAGUGAUUUGGUGAUUAUUGUGUUGAUGCUUGUG